rnacentral:rRNA from 1 species
GCCAACGGUCCGGCCGGGCACUCUGACGGGACUGCCGGCGACAAGUCGGAGGAAGCGGGGACGACGUCAAAUCAUCAUGCCCCUUAUGUUCUGGGCUACACACGUACUACAAUGGCUGCCACAGAGGGAAGCGAAGCCGCAAGGCGGAGCGAAUCCCCAAAGACAGUCCCAGUUCGGAUUGCGGGCUGCAACUCGCCCGCAUGAAGUCGGAAUUGCUAGUAAUGGCAGGUCAGCAUACUGCCGUGAAUACGUUCCCGGGCCUU